rnacentral:lncRNA from 1 species
UUUAAGCUCUUUAAAUCCCGAAAAUAAAAAGUAUACAAAGAAACACACUUUUUCCAACAUUAAUGCUAAAAAGGGUUGAUUUUAUACCUUAUUUGAUAUAAUUUAUAUGUUGCAUUUGGUGCAUAUCAAAUACCCUGUUGGGAUUGAACCCUAACAGAGGAACAGAUAAUGUAAAGCCAAAACCGGAUCCCAUCAGUGGACUUCAAAUAAGCAGCAGUUUACUCUAAUCUCUCCCCUUGACAGUGGUUAUCUAACAACUGAUAAUCUUAAGUGCUGCUCAACUACAACAACUGAUAAACCAAACUCUGAUGAUUACCUAACAACUGCUAAAGACAAACUCUGUUGCUCUAUCUACUGCUGGUUCCUAAGUGCUGCUGAAGACUCAAGCACUGCCCUCUCAAAGACUGAUCACCUUUGAAGAAAGCAUUGAAGACUCAACAUCUGUGCUAAGGCUACAACAGUGGAACGUGAAGCAGUAGUUUUCAUUUUGUUUUGUAUGUUAUAUUUGUAGUUUGUUAGGUCGUUAGAUGUCACUAUCAUGGUGACGUCAGCUGAAGUAUAUCAGUAGUUUGGUUUGCCUAUAAGUAUGACAGUACUCUGUACUGUUACACUUGAUCGUUUUGAGUGAGUUCUUCUUCUUAAUUCAUCCUUUCAUCUUGUGCAACCAACUCUGGUGUAUCAGGCUGAGGGGGAGUUUAGAUUGUAAGCUUUUACUGUAAUCUUUUGCUUUUAUGUAAAUCAUUUGAAUCAAUGAAAAGCAAUUGUUUA